GGGGCGGGGUCACGCACGGGGUCACGUCCGUGAUGACGUCCUUCCGGCUCUGUGAGCCCGCCCUCACAGCCAGGCCUCCCAGGCGGAAGUGCGCGGUGCGUCCGGGAGAGCCGGCGGCGAAGGGAAGGUGAGUGUGACGGAAACAAAAGUGGAAACGGUCGAGCACGUGGAGAGAGGCCGGACUCCACCCUUCACUGGCCACGUAUCAGGCUCCAGUUGCUCAACUGUGGGAACAGUUAGGAAGAGUGAGUGGGAUGAGGGAACGUGUGAAGGCGUCCAGGGAAAGCAGCAGUCACUGCUAAGCAGGAUGGUGGAUUCAUAUUGAAAUGAAAGGGCAUUACUGAUUCCGUCAGAAGAUCCAAACAGGUGUGACAUUCCUACCUACCUAGUGUUGAGGCCACAGUAGAGUACUGAUUAUCCUUUUAUCAAAAAUGAUUAUCACCAAAGGACUCACUGUGGGAUAGGCAUUGACCACCAGCCUCUGGACACCCAGCAUGAUGGGACCAUAAGCCAGCAACACAAUCGUGCAGAAGGAGAUGACCAGGUCCACCCAGUACAUGACCACAAAGAAACUGACCAGGAGCAGGAUGAUCUGGGUGGCCCUUUUCUCCGGGGAGAUGCUCGGGGAGAGGGACAUGUUGUGCAGGUGCUGGGAUCGCCUCUGAUGCCUGAACAAGAGAGUCACCAUGUACACACUCGAGAGCAGCAUGCCGCCUACAAAGGACACGUCUCUCACUUGUAUCAUCAUGAAAAACAGGCUCCACCUGAGGUACCUUGCAGAGGAAAGUGAGCAGUAUUUACCAAAGCUCAGCACUUGGGUCUGGGUCACAUUAGAAGCAGCCACGGUAAACAAUAGCAGGUUACUACUGAAGGACAAACAGAGAAACCACAAAAAGAGUAAGGAAUGGAUGACGUAGUGUCUGGAUUUCUGUUUGAACCGUCCCAACCAAGAGGAGCUGGGGCUAAUAGUGACGGCCUGGAGCAUGCUCAGGAGGCAGGUGGUGCAGAUGGAGAGGCCCCGCAUCACCCUGGUCACAUAGAACAGAGCCUUACACCUGACGUCAUUCUGAAAACGCAGUGACUCAAACGGGCCUGGAGAAAAAAACACCGUCGUGAACAGCACCAGUAUGUGGACGAGGGCCAAGUUACCGGUGACCAGGUCAUGGGGCUUCGGCCUGUGAUCCAGAAAGAACGUGAGGAUGCGGAAGAGGAGGAGGAAGGUAUUGGCUGUGAGACCAAUGCCAGCUUGCAAAAAAAACGCAUUAUUUAAUGCUAACAUAAGUGAAAAGUGAUUGUUUUAAUGUCACCAUGAAAAUAUUUUUCAUAUCUGGAAAAAAGUAACAUAUAUCAUCACUUUCUUUUUGUUCAGUAGUAUAAUUACCCAUUACUAUUAUUUUUACUUCACCUAAUUAUUCUUAUUAUUUUAAGUUUCUAUGUCAUGAAAAAUUUUUAGGGGUUUUAUUAACCCUGAAUUUUUAAUAGACCUUAUUAUCACAUAUAAAUUAUUGAUAAUAUAGCCUUAGCAAUAUUUUCCCUACAAAAUAACACACACAUGUGUGUAUGUAUAUAUAAUUUAUAUGUCAUGUACAUAUUAUAUACAUAUGCUACCAACAUGUCCAAUUUUGCCCCAAUAUAGUGCCAAUUAUGUGUCCUUCUAUCCGAUUUGGGUCCCUGUAUAGAAAAUAUUUCUUUAUUCUUCCGUAUUCUUUCAUUUAACAUUUAGACCCUGAAGACUGAUGGGAAUAUAAGAUUACUCAAUAUUAUUUAUAAAGCUUAACUGAAUGAAAUUUUAUGCUGAUGAGAAAAGACUCAAACAAUAAAUUUGGCAAAAAUUCCAUUUGCAUCUUAUAGCACAUCACCUUCACAACUUCUAUUUUCAUCUCUCUUUCAUUUUUAUGGAAAUCUAUGCUUGUCCCCUCCCCCAUGAUAAUUCAGGAGAUCUUCUUCUUUUAUAUAAGAAGAUCAUUACCAAGGUGGAUUUUAUUUGCAAUCUCAUUUCUCUUUUCCAUAAGAUCUAACAUAUUCCCAAAGACUGGAGACUUAGGAUGUAUUGUUGAGGGGAGACAUUAGUUCACUUACCACAAGUCCUUUUAAUGGUAUUUCCUCAAGAUGUCCCUCUCUCCAUUCAGUUUCCAAUGCAGAGAUAUCACAUGCAGACUCACUUCAUCUUAGGAGUGGAUUGCUAAAAUUCAGCACUCAAUUAUCAGAACAAGAACUGCAGUUAUCCAUUAUAUGACAUCCGUAGAUGUGCAUCAGAAUAGUCACAUAAUAUGUAACCAAAGUGUUUGUGCUCCCAUAAUAUUCUGAAAUUACAGGUGAGAAUAAUCACAUAGUCAUCCUUUCAUUGAAACCUUACUUUUUGUACAGGCAGCCUCCCAUGCCAGAAAAAGUAUUUAGGUUUUCAAUAUUAGAUACUUCCCUUCAAGUUUUUAUCAGGAUAUCACCAAAAUCAUAACACUUCAUAAAAUUUCACUAGGUAAUUUUGCAAGUAUUGUCUCAUGAUAUUUGUCCUGGUUUCAGGCAUCAUUACUUUAUAAAAUUAGCUGAAUACACAGCCUAGAAGACUUCAAGUGUAUGAGAGGAAAAAGUGGAAAACAACUACCAUCAGUCAGAUUCCUCAGGGAUGGAAGACUGUUCCAUCAUGUUUCCAAGGACACUUCUAAUCAUAGCAGCCCAGAACUGUGAAUGUGUAUGACAAGGCAGAAACACUAAUGGUUUGUUUUCUUGGCUCAGACUCGAAGUCCGUAACUGAAGCAGAACACUGAUCCAAGACUCAUGAUAUUUAGGAGUUUAUAAAGGAGAAAUUGCUCACUUGAUUUAAUAGUUGCUACCCUUUCUCCCAAAGCUGAAACUAGCAAAAUGGCACAUGUGUCUUAACCUCCAGAACCAACUGAAUAAACGAUAGUCACCACCAACAUACACCUGCAAAUUCAGCGUCACUGCCCCGUGGAUGUAAAAUAGUAUUUGUGCGUGGACUACUAGUAUAUAAAGAUUUAUGUGUUAACUGUAUAUCGGAGAAAUGUUAUUCAUAGAUGACAUGUUUUAUAAGGGAUAAACAAAAAGAGAAAUAAUUUUAUACAAUGUGAUAGAGAAUAAUUUUAAUAUUUUCUUCUUUUACACCAUGGGGUAUCUGGCUCUCUCCCCACAGUCUAUGCCGCUCACCCUGUAAAUGGCCACCACAUACUAGAAAAGAGCAGAUCUUCUGGGCUGUGAAGUGAUGCCUUACUCUCUGCCAGGCAUUUGUGUUGAUAGGUGAGGUAUAAUUAUCUGUACUAAAACUUUUCAGAAGUUGUCUCGACUGCCAGAAUAAAACAAAUGACAUUUGGUACUAAGGAACAUCUUCUCCAAGAAGAGGCAUUUGUUGUUGAUUCAAAUUAUAAUCUUAGCCCUGUGUCCUGCAUUUCUACUUGAUUUAUCUGAAAUCUCCACCAUGGAGGAAUCCUGGGAGUGACAAUGGUAUGGUGGCAUCGUGGGAGCAAGAGAAGAGAAGCUAAUCCACAGAGGUCACCUACAGAUGGGGCAGAGUGCCAAAGAGAAGUGGGCCCUCACUGAUACAUUAAUAAUUAGUAAUUUGAAUUUAAUCUCAGCACUCACCGUGAGAAUUCACAGCCAGAGAUCUGUGGGGGCCGUGGGUGAAGCCAGUGACCAGAUCGUGCAGAGAAAGUGCAGCCUCAUUGCACUGGCUCUUACCUUACACUGUCCUCACUGUCACAGCCCAAGGUAUGGACACAAUGACACAUCGGAGGUAAGGGAGGAGAAAAUAAUGGCAUUCAAGUGAACAGGACAAAGAGACUGACUGAUCAUAAAGUCUGGAUUAGGUGACACAGAUGAGUUAAAGACAAAGACUGCACUGAAAUGAAGACUUUUACAAGAACCUAAGUGCUAUUUUGCCUACGAACGUGUUCCUCUGAAGAAACUGAAGCUUGGUCUUGAGCUCUCACCGCUGCUGAGCAGAGAGACACGCACUCACCCAGCUGAGUCUGCCGCGGGAGUCUGUGCCUGAGACGGCCCGAGACAUGCUUAUGAGGAAGGGGUGCCACCAGCUCCUCUCCCCCAAGGCCCACGAUUGUCGUGUCACCUGUGGAGUCAGGACGGCCCUCACCUUGGGAUUGCUGGAAAGGGGAGCCCACAGGGGAAACUGAACUCCUAAUUCCUGGAAAACAGCAGGAGCAGUGCAGCGGAAUCACCAUAUGUCACCGCAGCCUCCAACUCCUGAGCUCGAGCGAUCCUCCUGCCUGGGCCUCGCAGAAUGCUGAAAUCACAGGCGUGAGCACCAAGCCCAUGUAGGAGCCACUUUUCCCCAGUUGCUCCCCGCAAAUACAGGCACGUCCCCCAGUAGCCCUAGCAGGGUGUGCUCUGCCCACGAAAUGGUGCAGGGGCUCGGGUCCUGACGCCCUCUGGGCCGCGCCCCGGGGAAUUUGUGGGGCAGCGGGUCACACACAGGGUCACUUCUGUCAUAAGUUUUUUCCAGCUUCGUAAGACUGCCUCCCUCACAACCAGGCCUCCUCUGCAGAAGUGCCCUGUGAGUCCAGGAGAGCCGGCAGUAAACAGAAAGGCCUUGAGCUCUCACCGCUGCUGAAGCAGAGAGACACACACUCACCCAGCUGAGUCUGCCGCGGGAGUCUGUGCCUGAGACGGCCCGAGACAUGGUUAUGAGGAAGGGGCGCCACCGGCUCCUCUCCCCCAAGGCCUGCGAUUGUCAUGUCACCUGUGGAGUCAGGACGGCCCUCGCCUUGGGACUGCUGGAAAGGGGAGCCCACAGGGAAACUGAACUCCUAAUUCCUGGAAAACAGCAGGUGAGGAACAGCUGGGCUGCAAACUCCCCUGUGAGCUCCUUGUCCUGAUCACCAGCCUGGGGGGUUGGGAGUCUCCAGCUCACCCUGAUGCAAACACGAGUAGAUGCCCCUCCCAGUUCUCAGUGUGUCCCCACCG